GUGAGGGAAAUUUUGAAGCGCACAUUUACGAAGGCCAGAAACAGCAUGGGCAUUGGCACGUUAAUAGCAAACAAUGUUUAUGAUGCAGCCUACCCACUUCAUGAUGGUGAAUAUGAAGGCCAAAAUGAUGACAUGAAUGAAAGAAAG